AAUGGUUAGUUCUACUGCUGCAACAUCUAACACGUCCAGAAAGAGGGCAAGAAAAUCAACACCUUCAUCUCGAAGGGUAUGGACUCCAGAAGAGGAACCUACUCUUAUAGAUGGAUUAAAAGAAUUGUGUGUUAAUUGUUGGAGAGGAGAUAAUGAAACCUUUAUACAUGGAUAUUUGAUGGAACUGGAACACUACAUUAAUGCUCGUCAUCCUAGUUGGAUCGAAAUCUCUACCACAUGUUGAUUCUAAACUAAGAUCAUGGAAAAAGAGUUAUGCAACCAUAUCAUUGAUACAGAGUUGAGUGGUUUAGGAUUUCAAUAUAGUGAUAGAAGUAUCUUAGUUGAUUAUUCAAAAGCUUGGGAUGACUUGAUAAAGGUUGAUCCAAAUGCCAAGUCAAUGAACUUAAAAAAAUGGCAAUUAUUUGCUGACUAGAAGAGAUAUUUGGCAAGGAUAGAGCUACUGGAGAGUUUGCAGAAGGGCCAAAAUAUGUUGUUCAAGAAAUAGAAAGAAUUGAAUCUCAAGAAAUUACCAAUGGCAUGUCUGUGGAUUUCCUAUUGAUGUUAUCUACAUAGAUGAUGCUUCAAGCACAAGGGAAAAUCAAGCUGCUCAAGAGGAACCUAAUAUAUAAACAGGAGCAACACAAAGUCCAUUUACCGCUAAAGAUGAACCUAAUGAAUCAACUGUAGCAACACAAAGUUCAUUCACAACUGAAAAAGGUGAAGCCCAUCAAUCUCAGAAAAAGGGUAACAUUUUUAAAGCAUCAUCUUCUAAAGUAAAUGAAAAGAGUAGAUGCAAAAAAAGAAAAAUAGUUGAAGAUGACACUGAGAUUGUUCUUAAAGGUUUGAUGGAGGUGGUGAAACAAUUCACUGAAAGCCAUGAUAAGAGAAUGACUUCUUUAAUUGACAAGCUAAGAGAGUGUGAUCUAUCUGAGGUUCGUAGUAAUAUAUUUUCUAUUAUUGGAUCCCCUGCAUUUGAAAUAUACAACUCAGAUGAACGAGUUAAGGCAGCAAUGGGAAUUACUCAUGAUAUAAAGAGAAUGGAAUUCUUCUUAAGCAUCAGCGAACUUGAAUGUCAUAGUAUGAUAUGGAUGAUUAUUAAUGAUAAGCUUUAAUUCAUUGAA